rnacentral:rRNA from 1 species
AGUGAACGCUGGCGGCAGGCCUAACACAUGCAAGUCGAGCGGCAGCGCAGCAGUAGCAAUACUGUGGGCGGCGAGCGGCGGACGGGUGAGGAACACAUCGGAAUCUACCUUCUUGUGGGGGAUAACGUAGGGAAACUUACGCUAAUACCGCAUAAGACCUGAGGGUGAAAGCAGGGGACCGCAAGGCCUUGCGCGAGAAGAUGAGCCGAUGUCCGAUUAGCUAGUUGGUGAGGUAAAGGCUCACCAAGGCGACGAUCGGUAGCUGGUCUGAGAGGAUGAUCAGCCACACUGGAACUGAGACACGGUCCAGACUCCUACGGGAGGCAGCAGUGGGGAAUAUUGGACAAUGGGCGCAAGCCUGAUCCAGCCAUGCCGCGUGUGUGAAGAAGGCCUUCGGGUUGUAAAGCACUUUUGUUGGGGAAGAAAAGACCGGGGUUAAUACCUCUGGUUCAUGACGGUACCCAAAAAAUAAGCACCGGCUAACUUCGUGCCAGCAGCCGCGGUAACAC